rnacentral:rRNA from 1 species
AACGAACAUUGGCGGAAAGCUUAACACAUGCAAGUCGAGCGAGGCUACGAGCCUAGCGGCGAACGGGUGAGUAAUACAUAGGAAUCUGCCCUGAAGUGGGGGACAACCACCAGAAAUGGUGGCUAAUACCCCAUAAUCCAUAUUGGGAAAGCGCGCAGCGCUUUAGGAUGAGCCUAUGGUCGAUUAGCUAGUUGGUGGGGUAAUAGCCUACCAAGGCGACGAUCGAUAGCUGGUCUGAGAGGACGACCAGCCACACUGGGACUGAGACACGGCCCAGACUCCUACGGGAGGCAGCAGUGGGGAAUUUUGGACAAUGGGCGCAAGCCUGAUCCAGCCAUUCCGCGUGCAGGAUGAAGGCCUCGGGUUGUAAACUGCUUUGUUACGGAACGAAACGGACGUCUCUCUAAUACAGGGGCGUAAUGACGGUACCGUAAGAAUAAGCACCGGCGUAACUACGUGCCAGCAGCCGCGGUAA